CUAUAACUGAACCAACCUGGUGCUCUUCAUUUAUGGAGGCUGUUGAGUCUGAAUGUUGGAUUUUGUGUAUCUCGUGUUCUCUGGGCUUUGUUGUCCUCAAGUCUUUUUGCAGGAUCAGAAAACAAAACCAGGAGGCGCGUAAAUGUUUCUUCUCCACGAUGUUUCUUCAAAUGUUUCUUCUGGAUGAUGAUAAGACUGACACGGGAUGCCACCUUUGGUCUUGUGAUGAAGCAAAGCUCAGGAAGAAGUGGGAUUAAAUGGUACCCACAUGUGUGCUGCUGAGAAGGAUGUACAGGGGCACCUGCAGCCAAAUCCAAGCCUCAGAGCAGCAGUUUGUGCUCACAGAUGGUGACGGUGUGGAGAGACGGUGGUGUUUCCUCAGAAGAACCAGCAGAGUCACUUGCUGACUGAUGCUCGUCUGCACUGCACAGAGGAAAUCAGCUGACCGAGGAGUGUUUCUGAGUGAGGGGGAGAGGAGUCAUCAUCCAGGUAAAGUGACGUGGAUCAGUGGAUACACUUGUCUCCCCUUUAAAGGAGACGAUCCAAGUCAUCCUUAAAUAUGGGCAGCAUAUCAGUCUUGGACUGUCUAACCUGCAGCACUGAAUGACCACCGCACAUGAGCAUGUUCCUGCAACAUUCAGCAUCUGAUCCUUCAUCUGUGUGCUGCUGCUUUUGUGUCACAUGUCAAACAGCUGGAGAGGAAACUACACCAGCGUACUGGGAUGUUUCAGCAACACGUGCCAGAUGCUGUUCCUUCAUGGUGACAUCACCAGAGACAGCCCCGCCCACCUCAGGACCUCGCCAUUGAUCAUGAUGAUUAUAAUGAUGACAGCGAGCGGAACUAAGACUGUAAAAAUCCACGACCAGAAUGUUUCUUUCUAAUUAUGAACGAAUAGUGAGAGCCUCUUUCUGUGUUUUGUCUGUUUUGUUUUUUACCUCAUUUGUUUCUAACAAAGUUCACAAACUCACACAGUUUACAUUCUGUAUGUUUCCAUCUUUACCAGCCACUCUAACUGCAUUUAAGAAAAUAAUCCUUAGAAAUCGUCGUUUUUCUCUUUUGUAAUUGAUGAUAAUUCAGUGAAUAUACUGCGCUGCUUCCUUUUAUUGCGUCUCACAUUGCUUUAAGUUUUUCAGUGUCCAGUUAUUAUUUUUUACUGCUGUUUGAAUUCUCUGUAUGUUUGACCCUGUAGACUGUUUGAUGGACUGCUUGUCUUCCUGUUUGUAACCGCCGCCUGUUUUUUAAUAAAGAUUUGGAUUUCUGACUUCAACACAGCCUCUGCGUGUCCUCCCUUUGUGUCCUCUUCCUC
ensembl:lncRNA